GUCUAUGGCCCUACCUCCUUGAAUGCCCCGAUCCUGUCUGAUCUCAGAAGCUAAAGCAGGGUUGAAUCUGGUUAGGAUUAAGUGGGAAUAAUCAGGCAUAAGUG
rnacentral:rRNA from 1 species